GCCCAGGUGGUGAAACCGGAAGACACGCUAGCUUCAGGAGCUAGUGCCUAAAAAGCAUGCGGGUUCGAAUCCCGCCCUGGGCA
rnacentral:tRNA from 1 species